AGAAAAUGACAUUGUUGAAGAUACCAAUUUGUGUGGGAAUCGUGGGGUUUUGCUUAUCAUCAUCAAACAGGAGAAGCGUGAAUGAACGAGAUCUUGGACGGUCAUCCGAUACGAUGUAUUAAUGCUUUCCGUAUGAGUGCUAGUUUAUUUACACAACUAUGUGAAGGCUUGGAAAAAAAAUUAUGGGUUGAAGUCAAAUGAUAAAAUAUCAGUAAAAGAAAAGGUUGGUAUAUUCUUGUAUACAGUUGCACUAAGUCUUUCUAACAGAGAUGUUGCCGAGAGUUUUCAACGUUCUGGAGAGACAAUUAGUCGAGCUUUUCAUGAUGUGUUGGAAUCAAUAUGUGGAAGGAGCAAAGGGUUCAUGGGUCUUGCACGUGAGUAUAAUAGACCUAAAGACGCAACAUUUCGUUGCAUAUCGUCUGAUAUUGAAAUGAUAGUCGAUAUAUGCCUUAUUUCAAGGGUUGCAUUGGAUGCAUUGAUGGUACUCAUAUAAAUGCAUGUAUCUCGAUUGUCGACCAAAUAAGAUAUAGGGGAAGAAAAGGAGUCCAUAUGUUCAAUGUAAUGGACGUAUGUGACUUUGACAUGUGUUUUACGUUUAUAUCUGUAGGGUGGAAAGGAUCGGCGCAUGAUACUCGAGUGUUCCUUCAUGCAAUUGAGACACCUUCUAUGAAUUUUCCUAAGCCCCACGAAUGAAAAUUUUACAUAGUAGACAAAGGAUACCCUGACCGAAAAUGAUAUCUGGCACCAUAUCCACGUCUUAGAUAUCAUCAGUCACACUUUAAACAUGUACUUCCAACUAAUGCUCAAGAGGCUUUUAACCGCGUACAUUCAUCUCUUCGAAGUUGUAUUGAACGUUCGUUUAGAGUGUUGAAGAAAAGGUGGAAAAUAUUGAACAGAAUGUCAAAAUUUAGUGAGAAGACCCAAAUAGAUGUGAUCAUGGCGACAUUUACCCUUCAUAACUAUAUUUGAAGAAAUGAUUCGGAAGAUAUGAUUUUCAACAUUGUUCAACAACAUAAUUACAUACCUAGAGAAGAAGAACAAGAAAAUUAUUCAAGAUUUAGUCAUGAUAAUACCCGACAGUCACGACAUGAGAUGCGAGAAAUUCGUGACAAUAUUGCGAAUAUGAUCUGGAAUGCACGACAUUUCACUUAAACAUAAAUAGUCGUAAAAAUGUUAUUUAGUAUUUUCUUUAAUUUAAUUUUAUGAUUUACAUAUUUGUUUUAUA